CAGGCCUAACACAUGCAAGUCGAACGAGAAAGUUGGCUUCGGCCGAUGAGUAAAGUGGCGCACGGGUGAGUAACGCGUGGAUAAUCUGCCCUUUAGUUUGGAAUAACGUACCGAAAGGUGCGCUAAUACCGGAUAAUACUGAAUGACUACUGUCGUUUAGUCAAAGAAGGCUUCUGUUUACAUGCUUUUGCUGAAGGAUGAGUCCGCGUACCAUUAGCUAGUUGGUAGGGCAAAGGCCUACCAAGGCGACGAUGGUUAGCUGGUCUGAGAGGAUGAUCAGCCACACUGGAACUGAGACACGGUCCAGACUCCUACGGGAGGCAGCAGUGAGGAAUAUUGCGCAAUGGGGGCAGCCCUGACGCAGCAACGCCGCGUGGGUGAGGAAGGUUUUCGGACCGUAAAAGCUCUGU
rnacentral:rRNA from 1 species